rnacentral:snRNA from 1 species
GUGCUCACGCCUGCAAGCACAGAUGAAAACUAGAAAGCUGCAGAAAAGGUUAACACAGCCCUGAGUAAGGAGAAUGCUCACAUUAGUUAAGUGCUCCACAUUUUU